AAGUCGAGCGGCAGGGUUCAGCAAUGGAUCUGAGAGCGGCGGACUGGUGAGUAACGCGUGGGUAACCUACCCUUGGGAUGGGGAUAGCCAUUAGAAAUAGUGGGUAAUACCGAAUACGGUUGCGAGGCAGGGGCUUUGCAACGAAAGGGGCUUCGGCUCCGCCCGGGGAUGGGCCCGCGUUCCAUUAGCUAGUUGGUGGGGUAAGGGCCUACCAAGGCGAUGAUGGGUAGCCGGCCUGAGAGGGUGAACGGCCACACUGGGACUGAGAUACGGCCCAGACUCCUACGGGAGGCAGCAGCUAAGAAUAUUCCGCAAUGGACGAAAGUCUGACGGAGCGACGCCGCGUGGAUGAAGAAGGCCGAAAGGUUGUAAAGUUCUUUUGUUGCUGAAGAAUAAGCGGGGGAGGGAAUGCCCUCGUGAUGACGUUAGGCGACGAAUAAGCCCCGGCUAAUUACGUGCCAGCAGCCGCGGUAACACGUAAGGGGCGAGCGUUGUUCGGAAUUAUUGGGCGUAAAGGGCGCGUAGGCGGUUAUGUAAGCCUGGCGUGAAAUGGUAGGGCUUAACCCUAUCACGGCGUUGGGAACUGUGUAACUUGAGUCAUGGAGGGGGAGUUGGAAUUCCGCGUGUAGGGGUGAAAUCUGUAGAUAUGCGGAAGAACACCGGUGGCGAAGGCGAACUUCUAGCCAAUGACUGACGCUGAGGCGCGAAAG
rnacentral:rRNA from 1 species